CCCUUAGAUGUUCUGGGCCGCACGCGCGCUACACUGAUGCAUUCAACGAGCCUAUCCUUGACCGACAGGUCCGGGUAAUCUUUGAAUCUGCAUCGUGACGGGGAUAGAUUAUUGCAAUUAUUAAUCUUCAACGAGGAAUGCCUAGUAGGCGCAAGUCAUCAGCUUGCGUCGAUUACGUCCCUGCCCUUUGUACACGCCGCCCGUCGCUCCUACCGAUUGGGUGUGCUGGUGAAAUGUUCGGAUCGGCCGUUUGUCGCGGUUUCCGCGGCUCGUGGCUGAGAAGUUCAUUAAACCCUCCCACCUAGAGGAAGGAGAAGUCGUAACA
rnacentral:rRNA from 1 species